AUCCUGCAAGGUUUCUGUGUUUUAUAUUUUUCUUUUUAUUCAUCAUGUGUUGCAUGUAGGUCAAACCACUGUCGAUCAAGUAUGGGCUUGGUAUAUCAGACCAUGAUACUGAAGGGAGGGUUGUGACUGUAGAGUUUGGUAACUUCUACCUGUUAACUGCUUAUGUACCAAACUCUGGUGAUGGUCUAAAAAGAUUGACUUACAGGGUCAAAGAGUGGGAUCCAUCCCUUGGUAACUACAUGAAAGAAUUAGAGAAAUCGAAGCCUGUCAUACUAACUGGUGAUCUUAAUUGUGCGCAUCAGGAGAUUGAUAUACAUGACCCUGCUGUGAGUAACCAUCUGUUUGA